UGUUGGACAACCACAAGGGGUCAAGAAUUGCUUGAGUGAGUCUUAUAAAAAUGGGCAGUCUAGUACAUUGCAAUCAGAUAAAUUGAAUGCUAACUUUGUAUUUGGUGCUAGUAAACCUAACUUUGAUUCAGAAAAGGGAGCGUGUAAUAAAGAUGCAGCAUACAGGGAACCAGAGUAUCAGGGUCCAAAACUGAAUGACACAUUUGUUUUUGGUUGUGGCUUCAAA
rnacentral:misc_RNA from 1 species